rnacentral:rRNA from 1 species
AAGACCUUGCGCUUUUGGAGCGGCCGAUGUCUGAUUAGCUUGUUGGUGAGGUAAAGGCUUACCAAGGCUUCGAUCAGUAGCUGGUCUGAGAGGACGGCCAGCCACACUGGGACUGAGACACGGUCCAGACUCCUACGGGAGGUAGCAGUGGGGAAUUUUGGACAAUGGGGGCAACCCUGAUCCAGCCAUGCCGCGUGAGUGAAGAAGGCCUUCGGGUUGUAAAGCUCUUUCAGCCGGAACGAAACGGUUACGGUUAAUACCCGUGACUACUGACGGUACCGGAAGAAGAAGCACCGGCUAACUACGUGCCAGCAGCCGCGGUAAUACGUAGGGUGCAAGCGUUAAUCGGAAUUACUGGGCGUAAAGCGUGCGCAGGUGGUUUUGUAAGUCAGAUGUGAAAUCCCCGGGCUUAACCUGGGAACU